AGGACCCCCAACUUCACCCAGGCAACAAGAACCCCUUCAAAGCAGAGUAAGACACUUUGGAAGAAGAAUUGGAUCUGAAUUUUAUUGACCUUUAACUUACAUGGGAUUAUACACUGAGUAUGAGCAGCCAGACCAAAACUUCUGAUGUGGCCAAGAACAAGGACUGGAUUGCGAAUCUGAGAAACCACCAAGGAGCCGACACGGAUGCAAACACACGAGGGU